rnacentral:rRNA from 1 species
UACGGAGGAUGCAAGCGUUAUCCGGAAUGAUUGGGCGUAAAGCGUCCGCAGGUGGUUUAAUAAGUCUGCUGUUAAAGCGUCAUGCUCAACAUGAUAAGGGCAGUGGAAACUAUUCAACUAGAGUAUGUUAGGGGUAGAGGGAAUUCCCAGUGUAGCGGUGAAAUGCGUAGAGAUUGGGAAGAACACCGGUGGCGAAAGCGCUCUGCUAGGACAAUACUGACACUGAGGGACGAAAGCUAGGGGAGCGAAUGGG